rnacentral:rRNA from 1 species
CGGGACACGUGGUAUCCUGUCUGAAUAUGGGGGGACCAUCCUCCAAGGCUAAAUACUCCUGACUGACCGAUAGUGAACCAGUACCGUGAGGGAAAGGCGAAAAGAACCCCGGCGAGGGGAGUGAAAAAGAACCUGAAACCGUGUACGUACAAGCAGUGGGAGCACAGAGCAAUCUGUGUGACUGCGUACCUUUUGUAUAAUGGGUCAGCGACUUAUAUUCUGUAGCAAGGUUAACCGAAUAGGGGAGCCGAAGGGAAACCGAGUCUUAACUGGGCGUUAAGUUGCAGGGUAUAGACCCGAAACCCGGUGAUCUAGCCAUGGGCAGGUUGAAGGUUGGGUAACACUAACUGGAGGACCGAACCGACUAAUGUUGAAAAAUUAGCGGAUGACUUGUGGCUGGGGGUGAAAGGCCAAUCAAACCGGGAGAUAGCUGGUUCUCCCCGAAAGCUAUUUAGGUAGCGCCUCGUGAAUUCAUCUCCGGGGGUAGAGCACUGUUUCGGCAAGGGGGUCAUCCCGACUUACCAACCCGAUGCAAACUGCGAAUACCGGAGAAUGUUAUCACGGGAGACACACGGCGGGUGCUAACGUCCGUCGUGAAGAGGGAAACAACCCAGACCGCCAGCUAAGGUCCCAAAGUCAUGGUUAAGUGGGAAACGAUGUGGGAAGGCCCAGACAGCCAGGAUGUUGGCUUAGAAGCAGCCAUCAUUUAAAGAAAGCGUAAUAGCUCACUGGUCGAGUCGGCCUGCGCGGAAGAUGUAACGGGGCUAAACCAUGCACCGAAGCUGCGGCAGCGACACUAUGUGUUGUUGGGUAGGGGAGCGUUCUGUAAGCCUGUGAAGGUGUGCUGUGAGGCAUGCUGGAGGUAUCAGAAGUGCGAAUGCUGACAUAAGUAACGAUAAAGCGGGUGAAAAGCCCGCUCGCCGGAAGACCAAGGGUUCCUGUCCAACGUUAAUCGGGGCAGGGUGAGUCGACCCCUAAGGCGAGGCCGAAAGGCGUAGUCGAUGGGAAACAGGUUAAUAUUCCUGUACUUGGUGUUACUGCGAAGGGGGGACGGAGAAGGCUAUGUUGGCCGGGCGACGGUUGUCCCGGUUUAAGCGUGUAGGCUGGUUUUCCAGGCAAAUCCGGAAAAUCAAGGCUGAGGCGUGAUGACGAGGCACUACGGUGCUGAAGCAACAAAUGCCCUGCUUCCAGGAAAAGCCUCUAAGCAUCAGGUAACAUCAAAUCGUACCCCAAACCGACACAGGUGGUCAGGUAGAGAAUACCAAGGCGCUUGAGAGAACUCGGGUGAAGGAACUAGGCAAAAUGGUGCCGUAACUUCGGGAGAAGGCACGCUGAUAUGUAGGUGAAGCGACUUGCUCGUGGAGCUGAAAUCAGUCGAAGAUACCAGCUGGCUGCAACUGUUUAUUAAAAACACAGCACUGUGCAAACACGAAAGUGGACGUAUACGGUGUGACGCCUGCCCGGUGCCGGAAGGUUAAUUGAUGGGGUCAGCGCAAGCGAAGCUCUUGAUCGAAGCCCCGGUAAACGGCGGCCGUAACUAUAACGGUCCUAAGGUAGCGAAAUUCCUUGUCGGGUAAGUUCCGACCUGCACGAAUGGCGUAAUGAUGGCCAGGCUGUCUCCACCCGAGACUCAGUGAAAUUGAACUCGCUGUGAAGAUGCAGUGUACCCGCGGCAAGACGGAAAGACCCCGUGAACCUUUACUAUAGCUUGACACUGAACAUUGAGCCUUGAUG